CAGUAGCCGCGGUAAAACGGAGGGUGCAAGCGUUAAUCGGAAUUACUGGGCGUAAAGCGCACGCAGGCGGUCUGUCAAGUCGGAUGUGAAAUCCCCGGGCUCAACCUGGGAACUGCAUUCGAAACUGGCAGGCUAGAGUCUUGUAGAGGGGGGUAGAAUUCCAGGUGUAGCGGUGAAAUGCGUAGAGAUCUGGAGGAAUACCGGUGGCGAAGGCGGCCCCCUGGACAAAGACUGACGCUCAGGUGCGAAAGCGUGGGGAGCAAACAGGAUUAGAUACCCCUGUAGUCCCUGUCUCUUAUAC
rnacentral:rRNA from 1 species